rnacentral:rRNA from 1 species
UGUUUGGGGUCAUGCCUGCCCCGGUGAUUAAUUAAUUUAACGGUAGCCUUAGCGUGAGGGCUUUUAAGGUAGCAUAUAAUAUGCUAAUUAAUUGUUAGCUGGUAUGAAUGGGUUAUAACGAGAGCAACGCUGUUUUUAUGGAGGUUGUAUUGAAAUUUAUUGGAAGGUGAAGAGUCCUUUAUUGUGUUAAUAGACGAGAAGACCCCAUGAAACUUUAAUUGAUUUGCUAAUAAUGUAGUACAUUUUUGUUAUUAUUAUAUUGGUUUUAAUUUUAACUGGGAGGGUUCUGGUGGAAAGAUCUACUAGAAAUUGUGAGUGGCUUGUUAGUGUUGAUCCAUUUGGGGUUGAUGGUAGUUAGAAUAAGUUACUCUGGGGAUAACAGCGUAAUUUCUCUUAGAGAGCUUAUUAUAUGGGAAGUUUGCGACCUCGAUGUUGAAUGUGGUUUGUCCUUUAGCUAGUAGUUGGUUAGUGGGUUAGAC